GUCUUCCACUCUUCGAUCAUGAGUCUCGUGAUUGGGACUCUUUACUGCACAAAGUACAAUUAUCAAUUCGGAAUUGAUAGAAUGUUUCAAGCUUUGCUGGAUUAUGACACAAAGUUGGGACCGGAUACAUGGUUCCACGUGAAAACUUGCAUCUUAUCACUGAUCGAUAGGCUUGUAAAAUUUGAUAUCUCAGUGUCGAAAGAAACUAUUCAGGAAACAUUGGUACUCCUGCAGGAAUGCGAAGAGCACGGACUUCAUGUCACGACCGUGAUUGAAGAAACUAGUGCAAAUCCACAAAUGGCGGAGGAUUACAAUUUUCCAAUUAAUUACGGAACUAAAACGGUCGCUUAUGAAUCCAGAUAUUUGCAGUAUUUACUGCGACAAGUGACAGAAGUUUACAUGUGAUUGAGUGUUAUAUCAUUGAAUAUCGUUGGUAAAGAAUUAUGUCCCCAGACCCAUUUAGUACCCUGAACCUUCGCCCGGCUGUCGGCUCAUAGUAUCCGUUCCCAUCAUCAUGCCCCGAUCUCUCCAGUACUUGACGAUCCAGCGUCGCUAUAUUUACAAGAUUUUAAAAACAUGCUUAGAUCUCAAGUUUUUGACAUCAAUUAAUUAUGUACCUUGUAGUGAGCAAUGAUCACGAAACCUGAAUACGUCCAAGCGACGUUGUAGACAAUAACGCAUGCAAUUGGUCCAACUGUAGGAACAAUUAAUUAUAAUCGGUCCCACAGGAAGUAUAUACAUAAAUUAUUCAGGUAAUACCAUCCCAAGUAACUGUGAGAGGUCUGUACGUCAGCAGGACGAAUAUUGCAAUGAUCAUGACGAAAGCCAUUAUCCACAUCACUGGGCAUAUUCAUAAUAGUAAUUUAUAAGAUAAUAGUUCAUCGUAAUUUUAUAAGCAUUUUAAAACCUGAGCAAAGAAAUGUCGUCCUGUGGGAAAUUAUUAUGAAUAUAAAUUAACUUAAUACUUAUAAUUAUUACAAUAAUAAUUGCAAUCAUACAUAACUAUCCAAGGCAUGUACAUGUAGGGGUGCACCUACAGGAAAUACAUAAGUUUUGGUAAUUAAAAUUUUAAAUAAGUCGAGUGCAUAUUUUUACGGUUUUCUUGAUCAGGGCAUAGACCACCAUCAUCCCAGUUACGAAGUACACCGCUUCGGCAACAAUGACGGCUUUUGCAAAUGGCUUCCACACUUUAGAAAUUGAGCAUAUUUUAUUUUAUAACUUCUCUGAUGGAUAUUAUCUUAUCGUGAUUGGUGUUCAGAUAUAUAUGUAUACGUACGAGGCCAUAAUCUCUGGAUAAGCUCUGGGUUCUCCCGCAUGUAAUAGUAGUCAAAGUCGUUUUUAAACCGAUUCUGCCACCAAAUGUCCGUCUCGUCAGGUCUUUCAAUCAGGAACAUGAACAGGACGCCAAUCGUGGACAGAGCUGCGGACUUUUCAACUCUUACAUUCAGAAAGAGGAUGAUGACCCAUGCCCCCUCACGAAGGGUACAAGCUCUCAAAAAUUGGUCAGGAAAUGAGAAUCCUUGCAACGGGAUGUUACUGUCUUGGCGUUGCAGCUCAGAAAUCAUUUUAUUUUGAUCCAUGUUUUCAGGGGGUGGUUAAAAUUUUUUAAAGGUGCUGAAGUAGUGUCAAGUUUCUAAU